GACGAACGCUGGCGGCGUGCUUAACACAUGCAAGUCGAGCGGUAAGGCCCUUCGGGGUACACGAGCGGCGAACGGGUGAGUAACACGUGGGUGACCUGCCUCUAGCUCUGGGAUAAGCCUGGGAAACUGGGUCUAAUACCGGAUAUGACUCCACGGCGCAUGUUGUGGGGUGGAAAGCCUUGUGUGGCUAGAGAUGGGCCCGCGGCCUACCAGCUUGUUGGUGGGGUGANGGCCUACCAAGGCGACGACGGGUAGCCGGCCUGAGAGGGCGACCGGCCACACUGGGACUGAGACACGGCCCAGACUCCUACGGGNGGCAGCAGUGGGGAAUCUUGCGCAAUGGGCGAAAGCCUGACGCAGCGACGCCGCGUGAGGGAUGACGGCC
rnacentral:rRNA from 1 species